AACGCGAAGAACCUUACCUGGGCUCGAAAUGUAGUGGACCGGGGUGGAAACAUCCCUUCCCCGCAAGGGGCUGCUAUAUAGGUGCUGCAUGGCUGUCGUCAGCUCGUGUCGUGAGAUGUUGGGUUAAGUCCCGCAACGAGCGCAACCCUUGUUACCAGUUGCUACCAUUUAGUUGAGCACUCUGGUGAGACCGCCUCGGAUAACGGGGAGGAAGGCGGGGAUGACGUCAAGUCAUCAUGGUCCUUACGUCUAGGGCUACACACGUGCUACAAUGGACAGUACAGAGGGAUGCGAGGUAGCAAUGCCAAGCCAAUCCCAAAAGCUGUCCUCAGUUCGGAUUGUCGCCUGCAACCCGGCGGCAUGAAGCUGGAAUCGCUAGUAAUCGUGGAUCAGCAUCGCCACGGUGAAUACGUUCCCGGGCCUUGUACACACCGCUAGUC
rnacentral:rRNA from 1 species